rnacentral:rRNA from 1 species
GGCGAACGGGUGAGUAACGCUUCGGAAUCUGCCCAAUGGUGGGGAAUAACCAGCCGAAAGGUUGGCUAAUACCGCAUGAGCCCUACGGGGGAAAGCGGGGGAUCGUAAGACCUCGCGCCGAUGGAUGAGCCGAAGCCGGAUUAGCUAGUUGGUAGGGUAACGGCCUACCAAGGCGACGAUCCGUAGCUGGUCUGAGAGGACGACCAGCCACACUGGGACUGAGACACGGCCCAGACUCCUACGGGAGGCAGCAGUGGGGAAUAUUGGACAAUGGGGGAAACCCUGAUCCAGCGACGCCGCGUGUGUGAAGAAGGCCUGCGGGUUGUAAAGCACUUUUAGUGGGGAUGAAAAGCUCAGGGCUAACACCUCUGGGUCUUGACCUAACCCACAGAAAAAGCACCGGCUAACUCUGUGCCAGCAGCCGCGG